rnacentral:rRNA from 2 species
AGAGUUUGAUCCUGGCUCAGGACGAACGCUGGCGGCGUGCCUAACACAUGCAAGUCGAGCGAGUUGAUUCUCUUCGGAGAUGAAGCUAGCGGCGGACGGGUGAGUAACACGUGGGCAACCUGCCUCAUAGAGGGGAAUAGCCUCCCGAAAGGGAGAUUAAUACCGCAUAAGAUUGUAGCUUCGCAUGAAGUAGCAAUUAAAGGAGCAAUCCGCUAUGAGAUGGGCCCGCGGCGCAUUAGCUAGUUGGUGAGGUAACGGCUCACCAAGGCGACGAUGCGUAGCCGACCUGAGAGGGUGAUCGGCCACAUUGGGACUGAGACACGGCCCAGACUCCUACGGGAGGCAGCAGUGGGGAAUAUUGCACAAUGGGGGAAACCCUGAUGCAGCAACGCCGCGUGAGUGAUGACGGCCUUCGGGUUGUAAAGCUCUGUCUUCAGGGACGAUAAUGACGGUACCUGAGGAGGAAGCCACGGCUAACUACGUGCCAGCAGCCGCGGU